GUUGAUGGGGUCAUUUGAGUUUAUGUUAAGGGCCCAUAGCUCAGGCGGUUAGAGUGCACCCCUGAUAAGGGUGAGGUCGGUAGUUCGAAUCUACCUGGGCCCACCAUUCAAUCAGGCAAGGGGCCGUAGCUCAGCUGGGAGAGCGCCUGCUUUGCAAGCAGGAUGUCAGCGGUUCGAUCCCGCUCGGCUCCACCAAUUGCGAAUUUAUAGUUUUUUUGUUCUAGGGAUUUUUUUUUAGAGCAAUAGUUUUUUGAAAAUUGAAUAGAAGGUAGAUUUUUUUGUAUUUUUUAUAUUGGCAUUGUAUGCGAUAUGGGAGGUACCGACGUUGUAUAACCGCACGUUGAAGAUUUAUCUCAGGAAAUUGGUCUAUUGAAAGAGCAUAAUUUAUUUAUGUUUUUUUAAUUAAGAAACGUUUGUAAUGAACUUUAUGACGUAUUGACAAUGAGAGUGAU
rnacentral:tRNA from 1 species